UAUAAUUUUUUACUCUUCGUCUUAUUUAAAUUAUUUAAAUUUUUUUGCGAUUGAUAUUUUUAUUUUUAUUAGAUGAUAAAUCAUGAAUAGUAUUUUAUGUGUGACUAAUUUUUUUAAUUUUUUAAAAAAAUUUCAAAUAAGAUGGAUGGUCAAACGUUGGACACGGAAACC
rnacentral:pre_miRNA from 1 species